CGAGUGUGGCGGCCGCGCAGCGCAGUGGCGAAUUCGAUCUUCUGGGUCUCCGGGUGGUUCCCACUGGGGCUCUCGCGCUGUCUCUCUGGAGCCAAAGGCCCCCCUCACACGGCUUUCGCCAGUGCAUCGCUUUUCCCAGCGGAAGUUCACAGAGACAGGGGGAUUGAGAAGGGACACAUCCAGAAUACACUUUGGGCCAGGCACAGUGGCUCACGCCUGUAAUCCUAAUACUUUAGGAGGUCAAGGCAGGCAGAUCAUUGGAGCCCAGGAGUUCGAGACCAGCCUGGCCAACGUGGUGAAAACCCGUCUCUACAAAACAACAACAAUAACAACAACAACAAAAAUUAGCUGGGCAUGGUAGUGUGUGCCUGUAGUCCCAGCUACUUGGGAGGCUGAGGUGGGAGGAUUGCUGGAGCCUGGGAGUUCAAGGUUGCAGUGAGCCAAGAUCACAUCGCUGCACUCCAGCCUGGGCAACAGAGGCAGACUUGGUCUCAAAAAACAAAACAAAACAAAAGAACACAUUUUGCAGCCUCCCUCCAUUGAGGGGGCUGCUUUCUGUCCAGUGGAAUGUGAGUAAAGUGGCAAAGCCACUUCCAGGUCUGGCCUAUGAAAAUCUACCCUUAGCUCUCCAAUCUUCUCCUCUAGGCAUUGGCCGACUUUUUCUGUAAAGGACCAGAUGGUAACGGUUUUAGACUUCAUGAGCCAUGCCAUCUCUAUUGCAC
rnacentral:lncRNA from 1 species